rnacentral:rRNA from 1 species
UGGCUCAGGAUGAACGCUAGCUACAGGCUUAACACAUGCAAGUCGAGGGGCAGCGGGAUUGAAGCUUGCUUCAAUUGCCGGCGACCGGCGCACGGGUGAGUAACGCGUAUCCAACCUUCCGUACACUCAGGGAUAGCCUUUCGAAAGAAAGAUUAAUACCUGAUGGUAUGAUGAGAUUGCAUGAUAGCAUCAUUAAAGAUUUAUCGGUGUACGAUGGGGAUGCGUUCCAUUAGGUAGUAGGCGGGGUAACGGCCCACCUAGCCAACGAUGGAUAGGGGUUCUGAGAGGAAGGUCCCCCACAUUGGAACUGAGACACGGUCCAAACUCCUACGGGAGGCAGCAGUGAGGAAUAUUGGUCAAUGGACGAGAGUCUGAACCAGCCAAGUAGCGUGCAGGAUGACGGCCCUAUGGGUUGUAAACUGCUUUUAUAAGGGAAUAAAGUGAGUCUCGUGAGAUUUUUUGCAUGUACCUUAUGAAUAAGGACCGGCUAAUUCCGUGCCAGCAGCCGCGGUAAUACGGAAGGUCCGGGCGUUAUCCGGAUUUAUUGGGUUUAAAGGGAGCGUAGGCCGGAGAUUAAGCGUGUUGUGAAAUGUAGAUGCUCAACAUCUGCACUGCAGCGCGAACUGGUUUCCUUGAGUACGCACAAAGUGGGCGGAAUUCGUGGUGUAGCGGUGAAAUGCUUAGAUAUCACGAAGAACUCCGAUUGCGAAGGCAGCUCACUGGAGCGCAACUGACGCUGAAGCUCGAAAGUGCGGGUAUCGAACAGGAUUAGAUACCCUGGUAGUCCGCACGGUAAACGAUGGAUGCCCGCUGUUGGUCUGAGUAGGUCAGCGGCCAAGCGAAAGCAUUAAGCAUCCCACCUGGGGAGUACGCCGGCAACGGUGAAACUCAAAGGAAUUG